rnacentral:tRNA from 1 species
GCGCCUGUAGCUCAGUUGGAUAGAGCAUCUGCCUUCUAAGCCGAGGGUCGCAGGUUCGAAUCCUGCCAGGCGUACCA